CCGAAAUCGAGAUCGCGUGUAGACCAGAGUUGGGUGUGUGUAAGCAGUGCGUUUAUGAAUGAAAUUGGAAGUUUUGCACGUGCUCUGCAAAAAUUCAGGGAUAACUAAUUCGGAUUAGCCCUAAAUUGCAGGUUUGAAGUUCAAGGACAACAGAGAGUGGCCAUCAGAGAACACUGGGUCAAGUUCUACGAUUUCAAAGCUGUGAACGGACGUUUUGCACGGAGAGGCGUUACGGGGAGUGUCCGGGGAGCGGGAAUUGGGGAGUGCACAGUGUACAUCAACGCCAUCUGUUUUGGGCAAGGUAGCGCCAAUGAAUACGUUUGACUGGCAAUCCUUUGGAUUUAAAAUUGUAUUGUCGCUCACAACAUUGGGAGUGUUGGAUUCUUUAUGCAUCCGAUUGGUUUGCGCGUCUAGUGUGCGCUGUAGCGCUUGUGUGUGGCGGCAGUGGCGUGUUUUGGAAGACGAUGGAUAGCUUAGGCAUGCAUCGCAGAUAUAUGUGGUGAUUGAGGAGUAAGGCGUAUCUGGUAAAAAGUGUACGUUACUGGAUACAAGACUGAGACUGUGAGUGUUAUUUG